rnacentral:lncRNA from 1 species
ACAUCUGGAAAACUCCAAUGCACACAUGUGAGAGUCUUUGGAUACCUCAGAGGUUAAAUCUCAGCACCCAGAGCAGUGCCCAGCCACUAACCUGCACAAGAUCGAGCCAGUUUCCAUUCUAUAAUAAAACAGAAACAAGAGUCAUUGCCAGGUUAAAGAGAAAAUCAGCUGGGUACGGUGGCUCACACCUGUAAUCCCAGCACUUUGGGAGGCCAAUGCAGGAAGAUCACUUGAGCCAACUAAGGAGUUCGAGCGAGACUCCAUCUCUACAAACAAUUUAAAAUAAUAAAGAGACAGAGAGAGAAAGAAAAAAAAAUCUUGUGUAAUUUAAAGUAAAAGACAAAACUAAACUUCCUCCUUUGUAUAGUGGUGUGAAGAAGAAGAAGAGGAAGAAGAAAAAGAGGAAGAAGAAGAAGGAGGAAAAUAAAAAGACAAAACUAACAUAAAAAUUUCAGGAGCUUCUUUGUAAAAUGAAUAGAAAUUCUUCAAUAGGCCUCUGGGGCUGAGAUGUGAGGAGGAGGAGGAAGAAAAUGAGAGUGGGAAGGACGCACUGGAGGACUGUUACUAUCUGAAUCCUAUCGCCUACAAAACAUCAACUGAUCAAUCAGGCACAAGAAAGUGUUCUGCUUCUUUCUGUCACCUUAGAAAUAACCUGGACGUCAAACAUCGGUGAAAAGAAGAGAAAAAAAGGAAAAUGAAAUAACCUGGAAGCUCCUGAUGAUUUGAGAUCAGAUCUUUACAUACUAAGAGAUGGUUGCUAUAUCUGGGGGCCUUGAGUGAAAGGCAGCAGUGGGAGCCCAGCACCCAUUUCCAGACAACUCCACAGCCCAGAGCCCAAACUCAGCAGUUAUGAGUUGAAUUUAUUUUGUCAAACAAAAAGAGUCAAACUCUGUAAAAUAUUGCAAGAGAUUUAUUCUCAGCCAGAUAUGAGUGCCCAGUGGCUUGUGACACAGCCCCGAGAUCCUGUGAACAUGUGCCGAAGUGGUUGGGCUCCAGCUUCUUUUUAUACUUUAUAUUUAUUGAGAUGUUUUAACUCUGCAGGCCAGAGAGAGAGACCUAUCUGAAACCAGCUUGGGCAGCUGGAGAAGAAUGAGGGUGAGCAGACAUCUGGGCAAGCCGGAGUUUGGGAAAACUGCCAUCUUCGACCUUUCUGGAGCAGCAAGAUACUGGUGUGAGUCUGUCAGGAGCUUCAGCCUAGCUGAUGAAUAGACAGGAGAGAGCGAUGGGCUCUACAGACCCGCUCAGCAGUUCUUUCCAACUUGGAGUGCUCUGGUCAUUUGCAUCUGAAUCCUGCUGUGUCUUCUCUCCAGUGGAGAUUUUCAAACCAGGCUGCCAUCAGCACCCACUCACCACCCUAAGUUUGAAUAUGGACUUUGGAGCUGGGCAGCCCUUUUGUGACCAUGAGGCAACAUUGAAGAUGCAAGCCACAUGCUAAGACAGAAGAAAAUAAAGACAGAACUAAGCUGGGGCAUGUAUGACAUUUCAAGCUCUCAGAUCAGCCCUUGAUGGCCACCAUCCAUAUUUAUUGACAUGAAAAGAAGUCCUCAUUUUGUCAAAGCCAAUGAUAUUCAGGACUGUUAUUAAUAACAAAAUACAAUUCUUCCCUCUACCC